rnacentral:rRNA from 1 species
AUUGAACGCUGGCGGCAUGCUUUACACAUGCAAGUCGAGCGGUAACAGGCCGCAAGGUGCUGACGAGUGGCGAACGGGUGAGUAAUGCAUCGGAACGUGCCCAGUCGUGGGGGACAACGCAGCGAAAGCUGUGCUAAUACCGCAUACGAUCUAUGGAUGAAAGCGGGGGACCGUAAGGCCUCGCGCGAUUGGAGCGGCCGAUGUCAGAUUAGGUAGUUGGUGGGGUAAAGGCUCACCAAGCCAACGAUCUGUAGCUGGUCUGAGAGGACGACCAGCCACACUGGGACUGAGACACGGCCCAGACUCCUACGGGAGGCAGCAGUGGGGAAUUUUGGACAAUGGGCGCAAGCCUGAUCCAGCAAUGCCGCGUGCAGGAAGAAGGCCUUCGGGUUGUAAACUGCUUUUGUACGGAACGAAAAGGUUUGGGUUAAUACCCUGGGCCGAUGACGGUACCGUAAGAAUAAGCACCGGCUAACUACGUGCCAGCCGCCGCAGUAA